rnacentral:tRNA from 1 species
GGAAGCUAGGCUUAGCCGGUGCUGGGCUCGGACUUCAAAUCCGAUGUUUGCUGUUUCACGGCAAGGGUGGGUUCGACUCCCACUAGCUUCCGCCA